UGAGGCAGAGAGAGGAUAUUGGAAAUUAGUCUAAUCAAUGUGAAAAGAAUCUGACUGCAAGUCUAAGGGUGACAUUUUUCUUCUAAAAAAUCUCCUGUACUCUGUCCUUCUUUCUCCACAUUGGGAGUACUGUAAGUACCAAUACAAGAAAAUAUUUAAGGGGAAUCCUAUUGCUAAUUUUAGCUAUUUAAAAAAAUAGCAGGGAUUAAAAUCUAUUUAUGGAACCAAGAUGUCCGAGUAAUCAUCAGCAACUCUGUGACACCAUGAGAAUCCUCUCUAACCAAGAUUAAAAUAUCACCACCAAAUGAAUACAAGAGUGAAAGAACCAUCAAGUAGACAGAGUAAAACAACUUUCAAGAAAAGAAAAACCCAAAAGACUUGCAAAACAGACCCUCUGAAGCUUUCCUGCCUGCAGUUACUUUGGCACAGAGUUCUCCAGCCACCAGAUCAUGGCUGAAAUCAUGGCAAAUCAAUCCUCUUCUUAGAUGCAGAUUUGGGACAUAUGAGGAAGAGGAUGUGAUGACCCCUCCAUAUUGGACUUGGAAACUAGAGUCAAUCUUUGGUGCUAACAGCCUCCCCCUUUCUCAAGAAGUCAGACAACAUGGUAUAGACUGUGCAUAUAUUAUCAUAUUAUACAUAUUUCCCUGUUUAUUGGGUUCUGAAACAAGAUAUAUUGCUUACACUAGACAAAAAUUCAUGGAAGAAAUAAAGUGAAGAGUGGUAUAUUUCAAUAUGGUUCCUUUUAUGAUAGAAGAUAGCCUCUUUCCUUGUGAGUCAUGUGAAGUCCUGUGUCCUUGCCUUGUUGGUAAUACUUAAGUCAUUCAUAUUUUGUCAUCAUGAGCUACUUUUGUAAUUGUAUGCAAUGCUGUCUUGGUUCUCCCCACUUCACUCUGGAUCACUAAAACUUUCCAGGUUUU
rnacentral:lncRNA from 1 species